rnacentral:rRNA from 1 species
GACGUAGGGCGCAAGCGUUGUCCGGAUUUAUUGGGCGUAAAGAGCUCGUAGGCGGCUUGUUGCGUCGACCGUGAAAACCCACAGCUCAACUGUGGGCUUGCGGUUGAUACGGGCGGGCUGGAGUUCGGUAGGGGAGACUGGAAUUCCAGGUGUAGCGGUGAAAUGCGUAGAUAUCGAGAGGAACACCUGCGGCGAAGGCGGGUUGCUGGGCUGAAACUGACGCUGAGGCGCGAAAGCCAGGGGAGCAAACAGG